rnacentral:rRNA from 1 species
GACGAACGCUGGCGGCGUGCUUAACACAUGCAAGUCGAACGGUGAACCAGAGCUUGCUCUGGGGAUCAGUGGCGAACGGGUGAGUAACACGUGGGCAACCUGCCCCAGACUCUGGGAUAACCUCGGGAAACCGAUGCUAAUACCGGAUACGACCACUUCGGACAUCCGACGGUGGUGGAAAGUUUUUCGGUCUGGGAUGGGCCCGCGGCCUAUCAGCUAGUUGGUGGGGCAAUGGCCUACCAAGGCGACGACGGGUAGCCGGCCUGAGAGGGCGACCGGCCACACUGGAACUGAGACACGGUCCAGACUCCUACGGGAGGCAGCAGUGGGAAUAUUGCACAAUGGGCGAAAGCCUGAUGCAGCGACGCCGCGUGAGGGACGACGGCC